rnacentral:rRNA from 1 species
UACGAAGGGGGCUAGCGUUUGCUCGGAUUGACUGGGCGUAAAGGGCGCGUAGGCCGGCUUACACAGUCAGACGUGAAAUUCCUGGGCUCAACCUGGGGGCUGCGUUUGAUACAUGUAGGCUUGAGUUCGGAAGAGGGUCGUGGAAUUCCCAGUGUAGAGGUGAAAUUCGUAGAUAUCGGGAGGGAACACCGGUGGCGAAGGCGGUUCUCUGGGCCUGUACGUGACGCUGAGGAGCGAAAGCGUGGGGAGCGAACAGG